rnacentral:tRNA from 1 species
GAGGGUGUAGCUCAGGUGGUAGAGCACAUGCUUCGUAUGCACGAGGUCCUGGGUUCAAUCCCCCGUACCUCCA